CCUGACUUCCUCCAUCCUGUCCAGCAGGAUGGGCUGGGAAGUGGGAAAGCCUGUGUGCACAUUUCGUGGCAAGUAGGAGUGACACACCAUACCUUGGAGGCACCUGCCAAACCCAACCCCAGAAGUCUCCCUGAGGUGGUUUUACCAAACCCAUAACCCACAACUGUGAUUGUGGUUUGGGGGUCAGCACCCGCUAAUGCCAGGGCACUACUGGGAAGCUGGGACCUGACCAAUGCCCAUGGUGUCUGUGGCCUGAGGACAGGGUGUCUUGGGGCCAUGAGGACAGGCCACCAAUGGCCAUUGGGUCAUACGGCCUGAGCCCCAGUGUUUUUCCUUCCCUGGCUUCUUCUGGUUCAGUCCCAUCAGAGCCCUAGAGCCCAAGAUGCAGCAUCCAAGGUUCCCUCCAGAAAUCCUGGUGGCUUGACUUAUUUUGUCAUGUUUCAUCUGAUAACAAAAAUAUCAUAUUAGCUGCACAGAAAAAUGGCUCAAAGUGCUUACUGACUAGAAGAAAUCGAGGAGCAGCAAGAAGGUAAUGUGGAGAGGGGAGGACCUCCAUGACCGGUGUCUGCAGAGCCAGGGGUACAGGCACCCAGUGCAGUGACCUGGCACCACCUGCCUCUCAGAGGGUGGGUAGCACACUGUCCUUACCUGGGGGACAGCAGGCCUGGCCACUGGCUUUUCUCCCUGUCCCUGCAAGCAUCACAUUGCUGGAAGAGAAUUUCAUGCCAGAGCUUGGACCGUCCCUAGCUUGGGAGUUACGGGUUGUCUCUUGGUGACCUAAAUGAAAAAAUAGGUCCAGAACAGAGUUCCUGAUGCUGGGCACUCAUCCACUCUUUGAAUCAUGGGAGGGGAGGCCUAGUCCUAGGUAAACCUAACCUCUUUGAGGAACCACAGUGCCCAAGGCUGGAAACCUCCAGAAUCCUCCCGCCCCCGAUCCUCCCCAGGGACCCCUGUGGCCUGUCUCACCAGAGCAUUCUUCCAUCCGUAGAUGUUUCAUCUGCUCUACAAGGGAGUCCCAUUUCAGGUGUGGGGCUGGGCAUGGUCACUCCUGCUGGAUGUCUGGAAGGUGAAAACCAAGGACCUAGGGAAAUACCAGGUACAGCCUUUCCACCCUCAUCCAGAGCAGGACAAACAGGCCAGGUGGUAUCAGGAGCCCAGGUCUCCAGCUGGAGGGAAUGUCAACCCUGCAGUGGGAGUCCAUCACGCAUCCUAGGCACAGAUGCUAAUGUAGGCACCGCGGACCAUAAAGGAAAACAGCAAGAGGUCCCCAGCAAACAUCUACAGAUGGCCCUGGACAUCAGCCACAUUCUGAGAAACAUGUCAUGUUCUGGGAGGGCUAAGGCAUCAAGAAUCCCAGUGAAUAUAUUGCCACCAUCUUGGAGCUCAGUGCCCUCAUAGUGUAACAGCACCAGCAGAUCUGCCUGUGCACAGACUUCCUGUACUACCUCACUUCUGAGGGGAGAUGCUUCUGCAGGGCCUGCGACCUGGGGCACAACUUUAGACACCAUCAUCCUGGAGCGGCACUGCACCCUUACUAGCCAGGGUGUUGACUUCCUCAAUGCCAAGGCCACGUUCAAGAUUUUCGACUUCAGUGAUGCGUUUGUGCUGAGCAAGGUGGGCUUCUCCGGGAUCUUAAUUCAAGAGGUAGAAUGCAGCUUGAGAUCUAGUGUCUGAUCGAAGAACUUGAACUUGACCUGGAGGGCUCUGGGGAGCCAUGGAAGGUGCUGGAUAAAGGAGGGACAGUCAUAUAUGUUUUAGAGAUGACUGUGAAAGGCUGCCUGGAAGGAGUGAACAAGAGCCAGGAGACCAGGGAGGGAGUUUGUGGGGCAGGUCUGGAGAUGGCAAGGGAGGGAUCCUGCUUGGAUGAAAGGACUUCAGGGACUGUCUCAGGUUACACUCAGGUGUCCUCAGAGCUAGUGUGUUCAGGGGUCUUGCCUCCAGGAUGAAAAUGAGAAGGAGUUGUCAGACAAGAACAUAUAAAUGAAGGCUGGCAUCUUCGUGAGUGCCAAUCGUUGUCCUGGUGUGGACUACUGUGGGAAUAGGGGUCUCUCCAUCCAGAGACAUGGUGGAUGGACCCUACAUCACUCCCUUCUGCCCUUCCUUUCCCUCCCAUUCUGAGGGCCUCAGUGCAUGGGCGCUGUCCAACCUCUGGUGCUGAAGCAGCCGAGAGACCCAAGCCUGCCACUCAGGAUAUGACAGCACAGCCAGUGGCCUCUACUGGAUCCUGUACAACCUCAGAAGACACCCAGACACUGGGAGUGCUGCCACCAUGUGGUGCAAGAGUUCUGAGGGACCGCAAUUCUGAAGACAUUGAAUGGUGGGUGCCAGGCCUCGUGGCUGUUCCCCAGCCCCUCUCAUAGGCUCUGCUCCAGGUGGUGAAGGGGGAUGACGUCUCUGUCAAUUCUGCCAUGAUUGCCUAGCAGGAAAAGGAGCAGAGCCCAGAAGCAGGGCCUGGUACCCAGCCUGCCUAACAAGGGAGAAUUUGUAGGCUUUGUGGACAGAAAGAUCUGGGAGUCCAUAUCACCCACUAACUUGCUAAGACAUUAGUAAAAUCAGUUUUCUUUUCUGAGCUAUGUUUCUGUCAUUUGUAAAUUGAGAGGAAUUUCUUUUACACCACGAGGCUGCUUGGAGAAUUAGUGACAGUGUGUGUAGAGCAGGUGCCACGCAGCAGGCAUUUGGUGUCCAGACCACUCCUCUUCCGCCUUCAUUUUCAGCCUAAAUUUGCAUUUUGUUCUUAAGACUUUCACUCCCCUUAAUUUUGCUCUUUCCUCUGAUUCCCAGCUUAUCAUCUAUCCCAUGGAGUCACUAGGAUCUAUGUGGGUAACAGUCAUGUAUGCAUUUAUGUGUAUAUACAUAUAUACUUUGUUGGUGUUGGAGUGCGGUGUGGGAAUGUGUGUGUGUUUGUGUGUUGGAGUCACUGCAUGACUGAAACUGUGCACACCAGGCUGUGUUUUUGCUCAUUGCUGGAGGUGCUGUCAGGGGCCUUGCCGUCAACCCCAGGUCUGACCCUUGCAGUGCAGGCAGGACAUUCUGGAGCAAUCAUGACCUUGGAAGGAUCCCCAAGGAGUGACUGGUGGGUAUUGGUGGAUAAAUACCCCAGUUCCCUUGUUCUGGGUAUGAUGACUCUGAGGCACAUGUUCUAUGCGUCUCUCAGAGGUACCUGGCAGGGCUGAGUCCUGGCUGCCACAGUGGAAACUUUCUUGAUGAAAGUCCCUUUAACUGCUGCAUUCCUUUCCUAUCUCUGUUCCCCACUCCUCUACUGGUGUUUCCUGGGAUUAGCACCCUAAGGAAGAACUGGCAGUCAAA
rnacentral:lncRNA from 1 species